GCCGGGUGUGGUGGUGUGUGCCUGUAAUCCUAGCUACUUGGGAGGCUGAGGCAGGAGAAUUGCUUGAACCCAGGAGGUGGAGGCUGCAGUGAGCCGAGAUCACAUUACUGCACUCCAGCCUGGGCGACAGAGCAAGACUCUGUCUCAA
rnacentral:SRP_RNA from 1 species